AGCGAACGCUGGCGGCAGGCCUAACACAUGCAAGUCGAACGAACCUUUCGGGGUUAGUGGCGGACGGGUGAGUAACAUGUGGGAACGUGCCUUUAGGUUCGGAAUAACUCAGGGAAACUUGUGCUAAUACCGAAUGUGCCCUUCGGGGGAAAGAUUUAUCGCCUUUAGAGCGGCCCGCGUCUGAUUAGCUAGUUGGUUGAGGUAAUGGCUCACCAAGGCGACGAUCAGUAGCUGGUCUGAGAGGAUGAUCAGCCACAUUGGGACUGAGACACGGCCCAAACUCCUACGGGAGGCAGCAGUGGGGAAUCUUGCGCAAUGGGCGAAAGCCUGACGCAGCCAUGCCGCGUGAAUGAUGAAGGUCUUAGGAUUGUAAAAUUCUUUCACCGGGGACGAUAAUGACGGUACCCGGAGAAGAAGCCCCGGCUAACUUCGUG
rnacentral:rRNA from 1 species